rnacentral:lncRNA from 1 species
GUGAGGGGCAUAGAGAAAACAGAAAUGAGUUGGGACCUCUCCUGCACAGAAAGAACCACAAUUUAGGAAGAAGGACCGCGUUUGAAAUUAAGGACAUCCAAAAAUUAGUAGUAAUGAUACAGAAUGAGAAAAACAAACAAACAAACAUCCAGGGAUGUGACUGCUCUUAGGUAUGAUGGAGGAGAAGGCUUAUUGAAGAUGUGAGGGAGAGCAGUGACAGAGACAGAGGCAGAGACGUCUAGGAGAGUCCAGAGUGAGCUGGGACAAGUGAGGAGGAAGUGGGAUGGGAGACAGGAGAAGUCGAACAGUCACAGCCAAAUGGCUGGAUAACAUAGGGAAGAGAAGGACAGCCCAGCCCCUGGGCUGGAGAGUUCAGGGGAAAGGGUGUGGUAUGUCCUGAAAUGUAGGGCAGGGACUGAGGGAUGCUGGGAGAACCUGGCCGGCAGGUUCACUUUGAUGUUACAUUGGCAUCACGUUUAACCAAAUGUCCCGGAUUGGAGACCAGGCAGACACUAAUAAUGAGGUCAGAGGUCACAGUCUCCUCAGUAUUAUUCUGGUUUGAUUCCAGGAAUAAUUUCUCAACCUCGUUAUUCUUCACAACCCAGGAAGAUCAUUUUUGUCAUUAUCUCUUUGCAGCAAAUGAGAAAACUGAGACAGAGAGGCUGUGUUACUUGUCCAAGGACACACAGCCAGGAGGUGGUAGAGCAACGGUGCAGACUGAGGCUUGAUUCAUCCAGAGGCCUGAAUUCCACAGCAGACUGCCGAAUGUAUGCACCACAUUCCUGUGUCAUAGUGGUGAUGAGUGGUACCAAAGCAGGGCAGCUACAGAGGAAAGGCUAUGUGGGGAGAUGCUCGGGCUUGGACCUCGAGAAGGAGAUCUGCAGAGACAUACGUGAAGUGACUUCAGCGACACUGAGGGAAGAAGUGUUUCAUCACAAUGAUAGAAACCCAAACUAAGACAGCUGGAGACACAUAGAAUGCUGGUGUUUUAGGGCAUCCUGGACAGACAUUCUCACAGGAUUGUCAAAACUCUGCACAGUGGGCUGAGGAGACGGUCCAAUUGACAAAGUGCUUGCUGCAC